GUGGGGAAUCUUCCGCAAUGGACGAAAGUCUGACGGAGCAACGCCGCGUGAGUGAUGAAGGUCUUCGGAUUGUAAAGCUCUGUUAAUCGGGACGAAAGAGCCUAGUGUGAAUAAUGCUAGGAAGUGACGGUACCGGAAUAGAAAGCCACGGCUAACUACGUGCCAGCAGCCGCGGUAAUACGUAGGUGGCAAGCGUUGUCCGGAAUUAUUGGGCGUAAAGCGCGCGCAGGCGGAGCUGCCAGUCUGUCUUAAAAGUUCGGGGCUUAACCACGUGAUGGGAUGGAAGCUAAAGAUCUAGAGUAUCGGAGAGGAAAGUGGAAUUCCUAGUGUAGCGGUGAAAUGAGUAGAUAUUAGGAAGAACACCAGUGGCGAAGGCGACUUUCUGGACGAAAACUGACGCUGAGGCGCGAAAGCCAGGGGAGCGAACGGGAUUAGAAACCCUUGUAGUCC
rnacentral:rRNA from 1 species